UAGCCCUUGUCAUAUUGUGCCUUGAGGGACU
rnacentral:piRNA from 1 species